UAAGACGUAGGGCGCGAGCGUUGUCCGGAUUUAUUGGGCGUAAAGAGCUCGUAGGCGGCUUGUCGCGUCGACUGUGAAAACUCGGGGCUCAACUCCGAGCUUGCAGUCGAUACGGGCAGGCUAGAGUUCGGUAGGGGAGACUGGAAUUCCUGGUGUAGCGGUGAAAUGCGCAGAUAUCAGGAGGAACACCGAUGGCGAAGGCAGGUCUCUGGGCCGAUACUGACGCUGAGGAGCGAAAGCGUGGGGAGCGAACAGGAUUAGAUACCCUGGUAGUCCACGCUGUAAACGUUGGGCGCUAGGUGUGGGGGACCUCUCCGGUUUUCUGCGCCGCAGCUAACGCAUUAAGCGCCCCGCCUGGGGAGUACGGCCGCAAGGCUA
rnacentral:rRNA from 1 species